rnacentral:rRNA from 1 species
UGCGUAGGCGGCCUGGAAAGUUGGGUGUGAAAUCCCUCGGCUCAACCGAGGAAUUGCGCUCAAAACUGUCAGGCUUGAGGAAGAUAGGGGUGAGCGGAACUAAUGGUGGAGCGGUGAAAUGCGUUGAUAUCAUUAGGAACACCGGAGGCGAAAGCGGCUCACUGGGUCUUUUCUGACGCUGAGGCACGAAAGCUAGGGGAGCGAACG